CGCCUCUUGCUAACUUAAGUAUAAGAGGUCCAGCCUGCCCUGUGACUAUGAUUUAACGGCUGCGGUAUAUUAACCGUGCAAAGGUAGCACAAUCACUCGUCUUUUAAUUGAAGGCCCGUAUGAAUGGCAUCACGAGGGCUAAACUGUCUCCUUCCUCAGGUCAAUGAAAUUGAUCUCCCCGUGCAGAAGCGGGGAUAAAAAUAUAAGACGAGAAGACCCUGUGGAGCUUUAGACUAUUAGCUGAAUUAUGUCGAUAAACCCAAACAAAAGAAUAGAAUUAAAUAAUACUCUACUAUAUAUCUUCGGUUGGGGCGACCACGGGGUAUAAAAAAACUCCCGAGAGGAAGGUUACUUCCGCGAUUUUAGAAUAUCAAUUGUAGAACCCAAAAUAUUUGAAUAAAGGAUCCGGCUAAGCCGAUCAACGAAAUGAGUUACCCUAGGGAUAACAGCGCAAUCCUCUUCAAGAGUCCAUAUCGACAAGAGGGUUUACGACCUCGAUGUUGGAUCAGGACAUCCUAAUGGUGCAGCAGCUAUUAAGGGUUCGUUUGUUCAACGAUAAAAGUCCU
rnacentral:rRNA from 1 species